UGCACUUUUUGGUAAGAAGAUGUUAAUAAAAGUUGUUCGUCUUUAUGAGGGCUACAACUUUGCUUAAUAUCCUUUUAACAAAUUAUGCGUAUUUAAGGAGAUAGCGCAGCGCAUGCGCAGAACGUAUCUCCUUACCUUUGCACUUUUUGGUAAAAAGAUGUUAACAAAAGUUGUUCGUCAUGAUGAGGGCUACAACUUUCCUUAAUAUCCUUUUAACAAAUUAUGCG